rnacentral:snoRNA from 1 species
AUUUGACAGACCCAGAGCAGUUACUGUCUGCUGCUAAGGGUUCCACCACACAUCCAAGAAGAAAGUGUCCUUGUGCUUCCUUUCUGAUUGUGGCAGUCAAGAUUGGAUAGAGAAAUACAGGA